rnacentral:misc_RNA from 1 species
GUGAGAGACAAGAUGUACAAGCCGAGGCGAUUAUGCUGAGACACUGAAGAGAAAGGAGGCGUUGCUUGGGUGGGAAGGGCAUACAUCUGAAGCAGAACGCAGACGGAGACUUUAUGCGGCGUAAUUGCAAAUGCGCUGGCCGCUGCCAUUGGUGAUCUGUAGGUGAGGAUGGGUCAGUUCCGGCGGGAGAGUUUUGAGUGCCAAUGCUCGCGAGUGGGAGUUGAAGUGGUAAUUAAAAGGAGAAAUUGUCUUUCAUACUCA